rnacentral:rRNA from 1 species
AUUGAACGCUGGCGGCAGGCCUAACACAUGCAAGUCGAGCGAGCGGCGGACGGGUGAGUAAUGUAUGGGGACUGCCCAAUAGAGGGGGAUAACUACUGGAAACGGUGGCUACUACCGCAUACUAUCGAAUAACCCAUUUGGGAUUAGCUAGUAGGUGAGGUAAUGGCUCACCAAGGCGACGAUCCCUAGCUGGUCUGAGAGGAUGAUCAUCCACACUGGGACUGAGACACGGCCCAGACUCCUCCGGAGGCAGCAGUGGGGAAUAUUGCACAAUGGGCGCAAGCCUGAUGCAGCCAUGCCGCGUGUAGGAAGAAGGCCCUAGGGUUGUAAAGUACUUUCAGUCGGGAGGCGUUACCGACAGAAGAAGCACCGGCUAACUACGUGCCAGCAGCCGCGGUAAUAC